rnacentral:rRNA from 1 species
CAGCAGCCGCGGUAAUACGUAAGGGGCGAGCGUUGUUCGGGAUUAUUGGGCGUAAAGGGUGAGUAGGCGGAUAUAUAAGUCUAUGCAUAAAAUACCACAGCUCAACUGUGGAACUAUGUUGGAAACUAUAUGUCUAGAGUCUGAUAGAGGAAGUUAGAAUUCCUGGUGUAAGGGUGGAAUCUGUUGAUAUCAGGAAGAAUACCGGAGGCGAAGGCGAACUUCUGGGUCAAGACUGACGCUGAGUCACGAAAGCGUAGGGAGCAAACAGGAUUAGAUACCCUGGUAGU